rnacentral:tRNA from 1 species
CCGGCUAUAGCGCAGCUUGGUAGCGCGCCUCGUUCGGGACGAGGAGGUCGCCAGUUCGAAUCUGGCUAGCCGGACCC